UACAACAUACACAAAGUUNCCCUCCCUUCAUUCUCCUUUGUCUAAUCCAAUAGACUCAUAUUCUUCUAUUCUUCCCCUUCCAUCCUCUUUUCCACAUAUCAGAGAGAACAUUCAGCAGCUUUUGGGGGAUUGGCUUAUUUCACACAAUAUAAUAAUCUCUAGUUCCAUCCAUUUACUCACAAAUGCCAUAAUUUCAUUCUUCUAUAUGGCUGAAUAAUGUUCCAUUGUGUGUAUAUAUACCACACUUUCUUUAUACAUUCAUCUAUUGAAGGACAUCUAGGUUGGUUCCAUAGCUUGGCUAUUGUGAACUGAGCUGCUAUAAACAUUGAUGUGGCUGCAUCACUGUAGUAUCCUGAUUAUAAAUCAUUUGGGUAUAGACUGAGGAGUGGGAUCACUAGGUCAAAUUGUGGUUCCAUUACAGGUUUUCCAAGGAAUAUCCAUACUGCUUUCCAUAGUUGUUGCACCAAUUUGCAGCCCCACCAGCAAUGUAUGAGUAAUCCAUUUAUUGAUUCUUGAUUUUAUUUCUUGCACUUUAGGAGUCUAGUUGAGGAAGUCAGUUCCUAAGCUGACAAUGAAGAUUUGGGCCUACAUUUUUUUUCUAUUAGGUGCAGGAUCUCUAUUCUAAUGUCUAAGUCUUUGAUAAAUGGGCUAAGGAACCAAAGAGACACUUCACAGAAGAAGAAAUACAAUCAAGAAACAAAUAUAUGAAAAAUGUUCAACAUCUCUAGUAAUUAGAGAAAUGCAAAUCAAAACUACUCUUAAGAUUCACCUCACUCCACAGAAUCCCCACUAAUGUUGUACCCUUGUCCACUCAAGGGGAAUCCAGCCAAAAUGUAAACUGGGGACUUAGUUAUGUCACCACCAUAACUAGAGCAGAGAGCUCAAACAUCUAUGUUAUGAAUCUAGAACUUUGGCAUAAACAGGAAUCUCAAAGUUUAAGAAACACACACUCCACCUUUUCCUCAUUUAGACUCAUCUGUAAGAGCUAGAGUAGUUAUGAAAGGUUAAUAAAAUAUGUACUUGUCACUCCAUUUUUCUGUAUGCUUAACAAAACACUGUUGAAAUCCCGAGAACUGUUUGCUAAUCUUGUUCCCAGAAUGUGAUGUCCCCAACUGCCAAACUGCAGGAUGCACUCCCUCACUCGGUUGCAGGCAAACCGCCCACUCGCCCUGACCCGUCAAUGAACUUCCCUCCCUGCCCUCUCCAAGAAAAGUAUAUAAGCUCUGCUUAAGCUGUUCUCAGGGCUCUCUCUCUUUGCUCUAUUCAAGUGAGCUCUGAGCCCCAGCAUGCUGGACCCCUAAUAAACCCUUUGCUGUUGCAUGAGACAGUCUCUUGGUGGUCUCUUCUUCCAACGUUCUCCCGACCUUUACAUUUGGAGGUCCCACCGAGAUCCGGCAGCGGCACACGAAAGACCCCCAAUGGGCUCUUCUCGGAGUAAGUAAGGCGUCUCUUUCUGGUUUCUGAUUUCUGGUUUCAGGUUUCAGGUUUCAGGUUUCUGGUUUCUGGUUUCAGGUUUCAGGUUUCAGGAGGGCUUGGCAAAGUGGCUGUUUGUGAAGAGUGUGAGCUCUCUCCGACAGUGGCUGACAGACGUGUCACAGAGCCACAGGCCACGUCCCUGGGGGAUGCCCCAGAGGACUUGGGAAAUCGAGGAACAGUAGUUUCCUCGACUCAGUAUUCUGCAGUAUGCUGCUUCAAAUUCGGUUUGCCAGCCCAUCAGGUUUUGCCAGCUACUCAGUCCUGUCUCAGUGUUGAACGUUUACUGUCUGUGUGUCCUUGCUUUCACUGUUUGUGUAUCUUUCAUUAUGGGACAGAGCACUUCAACGCCUCUGUCCCUGACCCUUGAUCACUGGACCAAAUUCCACUUAAGGGCUCAGAAUCUUUCUUUUUCAGUAAAACGCCGGACCUGGCAGACUCUCUGUGCCUCAGAAUGUCCCACCUUUGGAGUCAGAUGGCCCCCAGAAGGAUCUUUCUACUUCCCACUAAUUCAAAAAGUCAGAAAUAUUGUCUUUGUCUUUCAGCCGGGGCCACAUAGCCAUCCAGAUCAACAGCUGUAUAUCUUAACUUGGCAGGACCUCUGCAAAUCUCCUCCUCCAUGGGUGAAGCCUUUCCUUGUCCCUGUCCCCACUCCUACUCCUUCCUCCAUGAUUCUGUCUCUCAAACCCUCUGCUCCUCCUCCUCCUCCACCUUCUGUUCUUCCUGAGUCUCAAGAUUUGACUCUACUGGACUCUCCUCCCCCUCCU
rnacentral:lncRNA from 1 species